AGUCAAUAGAUACCCAGGUAGUCCUAGCCGUAAACGGUGCUUGCUUGCUGUAAAAGGAAUCGACCCCUUUUGUGGCGAAAGCCAAACGCGAUAAGCAAGCCGCCUGGGAAGUACGGUCGCAAGAUUAAAACUCAAAGAAAUUGACGGGGGCCUGCACAAGCGGUGGAGUAUGUGGCUUAAUUCGAUGCAACGCGAAGAACCUUACCUGGCCUUGACAUGCACGUAGUAGGAGCGUGAAAGCGUAACGAGGUAGCAAUACCAGCGUGCACGGGUGCUGCAUGGCUGUCGUCAGCUCGUGUCGUGAGAUGUUGGGUUAAGUCCCGCAACGAGCGCAACCCUUAUGUCCUGUUGCGAUUCCAACGAGAGUUGGGAGCACUCUGGACAGACUGCCUCGCUUAAACGAGGAGGAAGGUGGGGAUGACGUCAAGUCAGUAUGGCCCUUACGGCCAGGGCUGCACACGUACUACAAUGCCCGGCACAGAGGGAAGCAAGACUGUAAAGUGGAGCAAAU
rnacentral:rRNA from 1 species